rnacentral:rRNA from 1 species
ACUCCUACGGGAGGCAGCAGUGGGGAAUAUUGCACAAUGGGCGCAAGCCUGAUGCAGCCAUGCCGCGUGUAUGAAGAAGGCCUUCGGGUUGUAAAGUACUUUCAGCAGUGAGGAAGGUGGAUAUGUUAAUAGCAUAUUCAUUUGACGUUAGCUGCAGAAGAAGCACCGGCUAACUCCGUGCCAGCAGCCGCGGUAAUACGGAGGGUGCGAGCGUUAAUCGGAAUUACUGGGCGUAAAGCGCAUGCAGGUGGUUUGUUAAGUCAGAUGUGAAAGCCCGGGGCUCAACCUCGGAAUUGCAUUUGAAACUGGCAAACGUAGAGUACUGUAGAGGGGGGUAGAAUUUCAGGUGUAGCGGUGAAAUGCGUAGAGAUCUGAAGGAAUACCCGGUGGCGAAAGGCGGCCCCCUGGACAGAUACUGACACUCAGGAUGCGAAAGCGUGGGGAGCAAACAGGAUUAGAUACCCUGGUAGCGUAG